rnacentral:rRNA from 1 species
CUACGGGUCGCAGCAGUGGGGAAUAUUGCACAAUGGAGGAAACUCUGAUGCAGCCACGCCGCGUGGAGGAUGACACUUUUCGGAGCGUAAACUCCUUUUAUAUAGGAAGAAGAUGACGGUACUAUAUGAAUAAGCGCCGGCUAACUCCGUGCCAGCAGCCGCGGUAAUACGGAGGGCGCAAGCGUUACUCGGAAUCACUGGACGUAAAGAGCGUGUAGGCGGAUUAAAAAGUCAGAAGUGAAAUCCUAUAGCUUAACUAUAGAACUGCUUCUGAAACUCUUAAUCUAGAAUAUGGGAGAGGUAGAUGGAAUUUCUGGUGUAGGGGUAAAAUCCGUAGAGAUCAGAAGGAAUACCGAUUGCGAAGGCGAUCUACUAGAACAUUAUUGACGCUGAGACGCGAAAGCGUGGGGAGCAAACAGGAUUAGAUACCCCGGUAGUC